rnacentral:rRNA from 1 species
GACGAACGCUGGCGGCGUGCCUAAUACAUGCAAGUCGAACGAGAGCGACCGGUGCUUGCACUGGUCAAUCUAGUGGCGAACGGGUGAGUAACACGUGGGUAACCUGCCCAUCAGAGGGGGAUAACAUCCGGAAACGGAUGCUAAAACCGCAUAGGUCUUCGAACCGCAUGGUUUGAAGAGGAAAAGAGGCGCAAGCUUCUGCUGAUGGAUGGACCCGCGGUGCAUUAGCUAGUUGGUGAGGUAACGGCCCACCAAGGCCGUGAUGCAUAGCCGACCUGAGAGGGUGAUCGGCCACAUUGGGACUGAGACACGGCCCAAACUCCUACGGGAGGCAGCAGUAGGGAAUCUUCCGCAAUGGACGCAAGUCUGACGGAGCAACGCCGCGUGAGUGAAGAAGGUUUUCGGAUCGUAAAACUCUGUUGUUAGAGAAGAACAAGUGCUAGAGUAACUGUUAGCGACUUGACGGUAUCUAACCAGAAAGCCACGGCUAACUACGUG